ACGGGUAGGUACCAGCUGAACCUGGGGAGGCACCUACCUGUGUUUCCGCUCCUGUGUUUCCAGUUGCUGCUCUCAGCCUCCACGAGACCUUCAUCACUCUGUAACUAAAGGCCAUAUUCUCUCCAGAAGCACGAGUCAGAAGUUAGAAUAUGAAAGCAGCGUUUUCAUCAUAGGCCCAUGAUCUAUGAUUGUCCCCAGUGUGUCUACAUUCGUCCCAUAGCGUAACUACCUCAAGUGAGUGCCCGGCAUACAGAGUUCGAACAGUUGGGGCUUGCAGGACCAAGAUAGCAGUUGUUAUGGUUUAAAGUGUACGAGGAGUGGCCUGGUGACGACUGAUCUCCAUUGUCAACACGACUGGCUUUGGAAUCCGUCCCUGGGGAGGUAUCUGUGGCUGUGUUUCUAGACUGGUGUGACAGAGAAGUCCUGAAGGUAGGGGAUGUCAUUCUGAACUGGCUCUCACACUGAGUGAAGAAUGAUCAAGAAGGAAGCUGGCUGAACACAGAGAGCAGCAGCGUCUCCCUCCUUCCUGACUGUGGACACAAAGUACCCUGUUGUUUACACUCCUCGGAACACAGUCCGGAGCUGUCCUGCUGCCAUGCCCUCUGAACAGUCCUCUGAAACCGGGAGCUGAAACCAACCUUCCCCCAAGCGGCUUCUUGUCAGGUGUUCAGUGGUAGCACUGAGAAAAGCAAUUCAGACGCCAGGACUAGGUUUGCCUCACUAAUCAAAACAAAUUUCAUUUUCAUCUGUUAUGAUCCAAAUGGGAGCCACUUAAAUGUUCUUCAAGCAA